UCUAGGCAUCCCCUUCGUCGUCCUCCUGCGGAACGGGCUCGGGAACCAUGUCUUCCUGAUCUGAAAUGGUUAAUUAAGGAGUGAGCUACACUAGCCCAGUAAGAACAUCACGAUAUCUCACCGUCACGGAGAUAAAGGUGGGUAGAAAACCACAAAAAGACCAAUGGAGCAUAAUUUACAAUAAACUCGUUUAUUAACAACAAAACCUUUUAUCAAUAAUAAAACUUUUACCAUCCACUUACCUUGGUGGAAUUUAUGAAAAACAAUAUGAGAAAAACAAUAACAUUAUCAUAAUCAUUGAAUAAUCUAAGCUGUAAAACAUAACACUUAUCACGCCUCUUGUAAUUCAAUCAUUGUACAACAUAUCUUUUUUCUCAUUUACCAGCCUACUAGUAUCCGUGGGGGUCCAUAGGGGUUCCGCUACCCGUUAACCUUUAACAUUCAUAAUCAGUUUCCAGGGCCGUCCCCAUACCCCGUCCGGUAUGGGCGCCAAAACCAUAAACCUCAAUACCCCGUCCGGUAUGAGGGUGAAACGGGCCGUCCCCAUACCCCGUCCGGUAUGGGCGCCAAAACCAUAAGAUCUCCAUGCCCCGUCCGGCAUGUGAGACCACAAUCCCGGUAGGGUUCCCUACGGACCCGGUCCGUCCACCAUCUCCCAGGAUAUCUAGUCAGGCUGACCCCGUCAUACAAUUAUCAGUCUAUACAAUGUUUCAUUUCCCUUUUUCCUCAAUAAGCAUCAUCAAUUCACAUUUAAACAAGCAAAUCGUAAUUCAUGCCGAACAGACAACAUACAGUAUCAGUUCUUCAGUCAUUCAACCCAUAAUUAAUAAAACAGUAAUAUAUGCAUUCGAAACUAUAAAAUGAACACAUCAAACCCCAUAAUGCAUUUAAAGCUGUAAAACAGUGUAAAACAUGCCAAAUAACAGUAAAUCAUCAAUCACACUAGACUCGGGCUCCAUUAGCAACCUUAAGCAAUUUCACACAUGCGUUAAUUCAAGAAAUACCGUUUUAUCAUUUUGAACUUUAAUACCGUGAUAGGAAAUAGGGUGAGGGGUCCUUACUUGUUUUCGGGAUCCGAAUACGAUUCACAGUGCGCCUGCAGGCUGUCCCUAAUUUUUUCUGAAUUUUUCCCGGGGAACUGAAACACACUAACAGUACCUGCACGUGUUCCAAAAAAAAUCCAAAUUAGGCCCAGGGCCUCUUUCGGCCCAAAUCGCAACUCCGGCACGGCGGCUCCGCCGUGCUCCGGCGACGGCGCCGCCGCUGGCGGCGGCGAGUCG
rnacentral:lncRNA from 1 species